CCUACGGGUGGCUGCAGUAAGGAAUAUUGGUCAAUGGACGCAAGUCUGAACCAGCCAUGCCGCGUGAAGGAAGACGGCCCUACGGGUUGUAAACUUCUUUUGUACGGGAAAAAAUCUCCGGUCGUGAAUCGGAGCUGAUGGUACCGUAAGAAUAAGCAUCGGCUAACUCCGUGCCAGCAGCCGCGGUAAUACGGAGGAUGCAAGCGUUAUGGGGAUUCAGUGGGUUUAAAGGGUACGCUAACUCAGUGAUGAAAUCCUACGGCUCAACUGUAGAACUGCCAUUGAUACUGUCGUUCUUGAGUACACUUGGAGUGGGCGGAAUGUGUCAUGUAGCGGUGAAAUGCUUAGAUAUGACACAGAACACCGAUCGCGAAGGCAGCUCACUAAAUUGUAACUGACGCUCAGGCACGAAAGCGUGGGGAUCAAACAGGAUUAGAUACCCUUGUAGUC
rnacentral:rRNA from 1 species